rnacentral:rRNA from 1 species
CCUACGGUGGGCAGCAGUCGAGAAUCAUUCACAACGGGGGAAACCCUGAUGGUGCGACGCCGCGUGGGGGAAUGAAGGUCUUCGGAUUGUAAACCCCUGUCAUGUGGGAGCAAAUUAAAAAGAUAGUACCACAAGAGGAAGAGACGGCUAACUCUGUGCCAGCAGCCGCGGUAAUAAAGAGGUCUCAAGCGUUGUUAGGAAUCACUGGGCGUAAAGCGUGCGUAGGCUGUUUCGUAAGUCGUGUGUGAAAGGCGCGGGCUCAACCCGCGGACGGCACAUGAUACUGCGAGAAUAGAGUAAUGGAGGGGGAACCGGAAUUCUCGGUGUAGCAGUGAAAUGCGUAGAUAUCGAGAGGAACACUCGUGGCGAAGGCGGGUUCCUGGACAUUAACUGACGCUGAGGCACGAAGGCCAGGGGAGCGAAAGGGAUUAGAUACCCGUGUAGUC